CUGUUUUGUUGACCCUUCUCCCCAAAAUAGCUGCAUUUCAUUCAUUUAAUUUGGCACAUCUUCUCCCCACCAGCGCAUUUUACUUUUUUAUGUUUAUUAUUGUCUAUGACAUUACUACAUUCUAUGUAGACUGUAUCUAUGGAGAAAUGCAUGGUGAAAAGGGAGCACUUUACCAUUAAAGUUAAUUCUUUUUGCUCCAGUGCCUCCAGCUACUGACUUGUUGAUG